rnacentral:rRNA from 1 species
AUGCAGGGUAAGUUGUUGAACAGCGCAGGUGGUCAGGCCUGCCAUAUAUGUGGUGACACUGUUGGCAUUUCGACCACAGGCGAUGUCUUUGUCGCCUACAAUGAGUGCGCCCUCCUAGUCUGCCGCCCUUGCUAUCAGUAUGAACGCGAGGAUGGUGUACUACAAGGAGUUGACGGCCUACUCAAGUGCCAAGGGAAGGCGGCAGCCUGGCCGCGCCACCAAGAGCCCAAAGCCAACCUCCAAGAUUGA